CACACUACAAACCCUCACACGGCUUCAGAGCUGCUGGAAGAGGAGAAUCUGAUCCACUGACUUGUUCCCAAAAUGGCACCUGGUGGGAGGAAACCGCCCAGACCACUGUGACCAUGGUUUGCCCUGAUACUGGUUUGACUGGAGCAGGAUGUACGUGCGCACCUCUUGCAGUGAAUCCACAUGCCCAGGAUCAGUUCCCACCUGGCUCAAGAGCAGAAUGCUUAAUCUGAGAAAGCUCCAUGCCUGAGGAAGACUGUGUGACCUCUCUUUCUGCCAUGAAGGAUCCCAUGUUUGGGCAAAACAUCUACUCUGAAUGGCUGCCUGCAUGUCAGAGUCCUUUCCCCACCCUGUUUCUUGAACAUUUUGACAGGCUAUUAUUUUUUAUCUCAUCCCAUUGGAUUUUAUGGUGGGAAGGGGGGGAGAGGUGAUUGUAUGAUUUCGUUUGAGAUUUCAGAGCAGUUUUAAUACUGAUGAAUUUGACGGGAAAACUGUAUGACAGCAAAAAUAACAUAGCAUUUCCCCCCAUGUUUUAUAUGAAUUAACGUAAUACACAGUUCUAAACCUGUUAAUCCAUGUCUGACUGCCAUUACCAGCUCUGAGCAAGUACGUUGCUGUGGGAUUCCAAAGUGCCUGAUGUUUACAAGAAACCUAUAUAUGGCUUUUGCACUGUAAUUUUUCACGAGAAGAAAAAUACAUUUUUUUCUCUGCUGAUAAA